rnacentral:rRNA from 1 species
GACGAACGCUGGCGGCGUGCUUAACACAUGCAAGUCGAGCGGAAAGGCCACUUCGGUGGUCCUCGAGCGGCGAACGGGUGAGUAACACGUGAGUAAUCUGCCCCUCACUUUGGGAUAGCCACCGGAAACGGUGAUUAAUACCGGAUAUGACCAUAUGUCGCAUGGCGUGUGGUGGAAAGUUUUUCGGUGAGGGAUGUGCUCGCGGCCUAUCAGCUUGAUGGUGAGGUAAUGGCUCACCAUGGCUUCGACGGGUAGCCGGCCUGAGAGGGUGACCGGUCACACUGGGACUGAGACACGGCCCAGACUCCUACGGGAGGCAGCAGUGGGGAAUAUUGGACAAUGGGCGGAAGCCUGAUCCAGCAACGCCGCGUGAGGGAUGACGGCCUUCGGGUUGUAAACCUCUUUCAGUACCGACGAAGCGCAAGUGACGGUAGGUACAGAAGAAGCACCGGCCAACUACGU